rnacentral:rRNA from 1 species
UGCAAUCUACCUUUUACAGAGGGAUAGCCCAGAGAAAUUUGGAUUAAUACCUCAUAGUAUAACGACUCGGCAUCGAGAUGUUAUUAAAGUCACAACGGUAAAAGAUGAGCAUGCGUCCCAUUAGCUAGUUGGUAAGGUAACGGCUUACCAAGGCAACGAUGGGUAGGGGUCCUGAGAGGGAGAUCC